GUACAAAAAAUGUAUUUACCUUUCCGUACCCCAUAAUAACAUAUCUAUUAUAUGUGUCACCUGAAUACUGUGUAUUACCUGUAGUAAUUGAAACCCCUCCAACCAUGUAUAUGAAUAUUUUGUAAACACCUGAAUGAAUAUCAUUCCGAAUCGGAAAAUAUUUUAGGCGGACAUUCCGUUUUACUGCGACAUACAUACUGUUAAUACCUAUAUACAUAAGACGAUUAUGAAAAUAAUUACAAUGGAAUCUAAGCAUAAUACACUGCAGCGAAGGAUCAAUAAUAUAAGAAAGACAGCGAAAGAACAAGCAGAGUGUUUAUCUAAGAUGUCUUCCCGUAAGAAGAAGACUUUAGUAGCCGUAGUAGCAAUUGUUGGAUCAUGUAUUAUAAUACCAUCCUUGAUUGACAGCUUUAGAUGAUGAUAUAACAUUUCACAGCAAAAAAUGCAGCAGUUGAUCUAUGAACGUCUGAUGUCCAGUACUGAAAAAUGAGACAAGAUUAAUCUAUCACUCACAUAGUAGAUACAGGUUUAUCACAGCAACUCAUCAAUUAACCAGGAGAGAGAGUAUACCGUCAAACAAGCAAGCGAUGAGUUUAAGCCAACACUAAUAGUGUAGAAAUGAGUAAUGAUACAUCAAUGAACGAAAUAAAAGACACUUUGGUCAUACAUCUUACAUAUAUAUAUGUAUAAUAGAGGUUCAUCAAUCAGUAUAUACGUUUUUAAGGACAAAAGCAUUAAUCUGGAGAAGAGAGAGAGGGAGAGAAUGCAUUCGAACAAGUAUAUAUGACAAAAUAAGCCUAUACCUCAGGAAAGACAAGUUUAGAGGGGAAAAUAAAUCAACAAGACAGAGUAGUGGUUUGGCUGGAAGAAUUCGUUUAAAAUCACAUGUACAUUUAAAAAAAUAUAUUCAAAGACAUGUAUGAAUUAUCAACACCAUUUGUGUAAAGAUAAAAGUAAUUUCCUUUGAACACAUUAUUAGUCAGCAAAAAAGAUAGAUAACCUUUAAUGCAAUAGUAUAAACAAUAUAUAGAUAAAAUGUCAUUUUACCAUGUAUAAAGAUAGUUCUUACA